UCCACAACAAGGAGGGUGCAAACCAGAGAAAGGGGAGCCACGGCGGCUGCUGCUGCUGCUAGGAAUGAUUAUGUUUUCUUCUUCUCCCAUAGCUGGCGCACUGUCCAUUCUCCAUCAUCUGUAUAGCAACCAAUGACAAUUUCAGGAAUGCGUGCAAUUCUUGUGUAAUCUUCACUUUCUUCCUUCUGAUUCUCUACCUUUUCUAUCAUUUCAGAACUCAUCUCAUACAAAGACAGCUCUUGAAGAUGGCUCAAGUGCUGAAUACCCAAAGGUAACUCAUCUAGUAAUGGAAGUUGUUCCAGAAUGAGUUCAUGGAGACGUGGUAAUGCACCCUCCUCCACUCUCAUCCAUCUCAACCCUUCCAUUCUCUUUAAGUGCAUCCACUUCAGAUUUAGGAACCCUCCAGCCUUGAAACACAACCCUUCUCCCUGGUAAGAUCCGCAGAAAUUAAUUCUACCC
rnacentral:lncRNA from 1 species